rnacentral:rRNA from 1 species
AAUCAACGCUGGCGGCGUGCCUAACACAUGCAAGUCGAACGAGAAAGGGGGCUUCGGUCCCUGAGUACAGUGGCGCACGGGUGAGUAACACGUGACUUAUCUACCCUCGAGUGGGGAAUAACUUCGGGAAACCGAGGCUAAUACCGCAUAAUACCCACGGGUCAAAGGAGCAAUUCGCUUGAGGAGGAGGUCGCGGCCGAUUAGUUAGUUGGCGGGGUAAUGGCCCACCAAGACGGUGAUCGGUAUCCGGCCUGAGAGGGCGCACGGACACACUGGAACUGAAACACGGUCCAGACUCCUACGGGAGGCAGCAGUGGGGAAUUUUGCGCAAUGGGGGAAACCCUGACGCAGCAACGCCGCGUGGAGGAUGAAGUCUCUUGGGACGUAAACUCCUUUCGAUCGGGACGAUUAUGACGGUACCGGAAGAAGAAGCCCCGGCUAACUUCGUG